rnacentral:tRNA from 1 species
GAAGGUAUAGCUCAAGUGGUAGGGCGCACGCUUAGCAUGCACAAGGUCCUGGGUUCAAUCCCCAGUACCUCCA